rnacentral:rRNA from 1 species
UGGGGAAUAUUGGACAAUGGGGGGAACCCUGAUCCAGCAAUGCCGCGUGUGUGAAGAAGGCCUGAGGGUUGUAAAGCACUUUCAGAGGGGAGGAGGACUAUUAGGUUAAGAGCUAGAUAGUUGGACGUUACCCUCAGAAGCAGCACCGGCUAACUCCGUGCCAGCAGCCGCGGUAAUACGGGGGGUGCAAGCGUUGUUCGGAUUUACUGGGCGUAAAGGGCGCGUAGGCGGCAAUUCAAGUCAUCUGUGAAAUCUCCGGGCUUAACUCGGAACGGUCAGAUGAUACUGCUUUGCUAGAGUGCAGAAGGGGCAAUCGGAAUUCUUGGUGUAGCGGUGAAAUGCGUAGAUAUCAAGAGGAACACCUGAGGUGAAGACGGGUUGCUGGGCUGACACUGACGCUGAGGCGCGAAAGCCAGGGGAGCAAACGGGAUUAGAUACCCUAGUAGUCCCUGAGCGGGCUGGCAAGGCGCAU